rnacentral:lncRNA from 1 species
UGUGUUACAAAGCAUUAAUUCUAAUGAUUGUUACCUUUGGAAUCUUAUUUCAAACGAAAAAAUUCAACUCCCACCACUUCCUGCUAAGUGCGACAUAUUAAACUGCCUCUUGUCUGCACCACCUCAUGAUCCCGAAUGUCAAGUUAUCUUCCAAAUUGAGACUACUCUGGAUGAUGAUGACACUAAUGAGGAUGAGGAUGAGCAUGAGAAUGACAACUCUGAUGAGCAUGAGAAUGACAACUCUGAUGAGAACUCAGAUGGGGAUGAGAACUCUGAUGCGGAUGGGGAUGCAGACUCUAUUAAU